UACGGAGGAUCCAAGCGUUAUCCGGAUUUAUUGGGUUUAAAGGGUGCGUAGGCGGCCUAUUAAGUCAGGGGUGAAAGACGGUAGCUUAACUAUCGCAGUGCCCUUGAUACUGAUGGGCUUGAAUGUACUAGAGGUAGGCGGAAUGUGACAAGUAGCGGUGAAAUGCAUAGAUAUGUCACAGAACACCAAUUGCGAAGGCAGCUUACUACGGUAUGAUUGACGCUGAGGCACGAAAGCGUGGGGAUCAAACAGG
rnacentral:rRNA from 1 species